AUACGGAGGGUGCGAGCGUUAAUCGGAAUUACUGGGCGUAAAGCGUACGUAGGCGGUUGGUUAAGUUAGAUGUGAAAGCCCCGGGCUUAACCUGGGAACUGCAUUUAAAACUGGCGAACUAGAGUUGAGUAGAGGGGAGUGGAAUUUCAGGUGUAGCGGUGAAAUGCGUAGAGAUCAGAAGGAACACCAGUGGCGAAGGCGACUCCCUGGACUCGAACUGACGCUGAGGUACGAAAGCGUGGGUAGCAAACGGGAUUAGAAUCCCUAGUAGUCC
rnacentral:rRNA from 1 species